rnacentral:lncRNA from 10 species
GAUGUUGUAGAAGCAGCGCUUAAGUUUACACUGGCUUGCUGGUAACCUGGGUAGCCGGGGGGAAAUAUCACAGUAUAGUUCACAGGUUGUGUCAUAAUCUCCCAGAUUCAUCAUUUUCAGCCUUGGUUGUGCUUAUGGGGCUAAGGGGUGGAGGCCUAGAUUUGUAACAACCCAGAGACCAAACCCAUUUCCACAAGAAAGUGCACAGAGAAGACAAAGGGAAAAACGUGGUAACAGGGAAGAUGUCAGAGAGAUGGGAGGCUGUGCAGAGAGGGCAGCACAGGCUGCCAGUUGGCCUCUCUUGUUUUGUUUUGUUUUGCUUUGCAGGAGAGAGGGAGGUUGGAAGCGCCACUGAGAGGAGUCAGAGGAAAGUGUAAGGAGACUUGUAAAAAAAGGAGGUGGUCAUGAGGAUGAAAGUCAUAUGUGAAGGAUGAUGGAACAGAGGGACUAAAGGAGCCUGCCCUGGACACCCUGAUUUCCUGCUAUGGGGAGUGAAAAAGAAGCCAUAGUCCCAUGGAUUCUGUUACCAGCCACUGAGUGCAAUCCUACCUGAUCCCAUGGUCCUCACCAAGGCUGUGUCUGCUUAGGAAAUGGAGAAUGGUCCCCAAACCACAGCAGCAAAAAUGAGUGGAAGGGUUGAGCAUUAUUUCCAGCCUUGGUUGCUCUGGUGAUUGGUGCCUGGGAGGGGCAGGACCUCCAUCCAACAGACUGUACCAGCAGAGUCGUAAGAGGUAGGACUUUGGAGAUUCAGCCGUAUGUUCUAUGGGUGGACUGAAGGCUGAAGGAGGAAGAGGUAGAAGUGCAUUGCUACCGACCUACUCCAUCCCACGUGCAGACUCCCUCGACCCCCAACCCCAGGCUGUCACCUGCUCCUAUAUUCAUUUUCUCUGAGGUUGGAGGAAAGAGAAAGGAGACAGCAAUGGCCAGACUUCCCUGGGGUUCCCAAACUGGUUAGUGUGCUCUGCUCAAGUGCUGGCUCCCCGCCCCUCUCUAUGCACACACUCAGCCCAUGUUCACUGAUUCCCAUCCUACCCUCCAGUCAUUUGCCUAACUGACUUUUUUUUUUCCAGGAAACCUCAGAGAUGCAUUGGACUUGGUCAGCAGACUUGAGUUCUAUGCCCAUGCCAGUCACUGACUGGCCAUGACCUGAGUUGGACAAAUCAUGCCCACUCUAGACUUAAGUUGUUCCUUAUAUGGAAAAGGAAAGGAGUGCUUUGUCAGUGGUUCCCAGAUACCAAUUUAUAAAGAUUUC